AUUGAACGCUGGCGGCAUGCCUUACACAUGCAAGUCGAACGGUAACGCGGGGCAACCUGGCGACGAGUGGCGAACGGGUGAGUAAAGCAUCGGAACGUGCCCAGUAGUGGGGGAUAGCCCGGCGAAAGCCGGAUUAAUACCGCAUACGACCUACGGGUGAAAGGGGGGGAUCGCAAGACCUCUCGCUAUUGGAGCGGCCGAUGUCAGAUUAGGUAGUUGGUGGGGUAAAGGCCUACCAAGCCUGCGAUCUGUAGCUGGUCUGAGAGGACGACCAGCCACACUGGGACUGAGACACGGCCCAGACUCCUACGGGAGGCAGCAGUGGGGAAUUUUGGACAAUGGGCGCAAGCCUGAUCCAGCCAUGCCGCGUGCGGGAAGAAGGCCUUCGGGUUGUAAACCGCUUUUGUCGGGGAAGAAAAGCCUUGGGUUAAUACCCUGGGGUGAUGACGGUACCUGAAGAAUAAGCACCGGCUAACUACGUGCCAGCCGCCGCUGUAA
rnacentral:rRNA from 1 species